rnacentral:rRNA from 1 species
UACGUAGGUGGCAAGCGUUGUCCGGAAUUAUUGGGCGUAAAGCGCGCGCAGGUGGUUUCUUAAGUCUGAUGUGAAAGCCCACGGCUCAACCGUGGAGGGUCAUUGGAAACUGGGGAACUUGAGUGCAGAAGAGGAAAGUGGAAUUCCAAGUGUAGCGGUGAAAUGCGUAGAGAUUUGGAGGGACACCAGUGGCGAAGGCGACUUUCUGGUCUGUAACUGACACUGAGGCGCGAAAGCGUGGGGAGCGAACAGG